GUUACCGUAGGGACCACCAGCUUUGACGACCUCAUUGCGUGUGUGUCGGCGCCCGACAGUCUGCAAAAAAUCGAGAGCCUUGGUUACAACCGACUUAUCCUGCAAAUUGGUAGAGGAACGGUGGUACCUGAACCCUUCAGUACUGAGUCGUUUACUCUGGAUGUUUACAGGUACAAGGAUUCCUUGAAAGAAGACAUUCAGAAAGCAGAUCUUGUUAUUAGUCACGCAGGUAAAGGUGCAGGAAGCUGUUUGGAGACUCUGGAAAAAGGAAAGCCACUCGUAGUGGUUAUAAACGAAAAGUUGAUGAACAAUCAUCAGCUGGAACUGGCAAAGCAGCUACACAAAGAGGGUCAUCUCUUCUAUUGUACCUGCAGCACGCUUCCUGGGCUGUUACAGUCAAUGGACUUAUCAACACUGAAAUGUUAUCCUCCUGGCCAGCCAGAAAAAUUUUCUGCAUUUUUGGAUAAAGUUGUUGGAUUACAAAAAUAAACACUAAACUCUCAACACUUUAAAAGCAACCCCCAAAUUCAACCUAUGUAAUGUGAUUAAAUCAAAUUAAAUACAUAAUAUAUAUUUACAAAAUAA
rnacentral:lncRNA from 1 species